GACGAACGCUGGCGGCGUGCUUAACACAUGCAAGUCGAACGGAAAGGCCCUGCUUUUGUGGGGUGCUCGAGUGGCGAACGGGUGAGUAACACGUGAGUAACCUGCCCUUGACUUUGGGAUAACUUCAGGAAACUGGGGCUAAUACCGGAUAGGAGCUCCUGCUGCAUGGUGGGGGUUGGAAAGUUUCGGCGGUUGGGGAUGGACUCGCGGCUUAUCAGCUUGUUGGUGGGGUAGUGGCUUACCAAGGCUUUGACGGGUAGCCGGCCUGAGAGGGUGACCGGCCACAUUGGGACAGAGAAACGGCACAGACUCCUACGGGAGGCAGCAGGGGGGAAUAUUGCACAAUGGGUGGAAGCCUGAUGCAGCAACGCCGCGUGCGGGAUGACGGCCUUCGGGUUGUAAACCGCUUUCGCCUGUGACGAAGCGUGAGUGACGGUAAUGGGUAAAGAAGCACCGGCUAAAUACGUG
rnacentral:rRNA from 1 species